rnacentral:rRNA from 1 species
AAAUUGAAGAGUUUGAUCAUGGCUCAGAUUGAACGCUGGCGGCAGGCCUAACACAUGCAAGUCGAACGGUAACAGAAAGCAGCUUGCUGCUUUGCUGACGAGUGGCGGACGGGUGAGUAAUGUCUGGGAAACUGCCUGAUGGAGGGGGAUAACUACUGGAAACGGUAGCUAAUACCGCAUAAUGUCGCAAGACCAAAGAGGGGGACCUU